rnacentral:rRNA from 1 species
GAAACCCGGUGAUCUAGCCAUGGGCAGGUUGAAGGUUGGGUAACACUAACUGGAGGACCGAACCGACUAAUGUUGAAAAAUUAGCGGAUGACCUGUGGCUGGGGGUGAAAGGCCAAUCAAACCGGGAGAUAGCUGGUUCUCCCCGAAAGCUAUUUAGGUAGCGCCUCGUGAAUUCAUCUCCGGGGGUAGAGCACUGUUUCGGCCAGGGGGCCAUCCCGGCUUACCAAUCCGAUGCAAACUGCGAAUACCGGAGAAUGUUAUCACGGGAGACACACGGCGGGUGCUAACGUCCGUCGUGAAGAGGGAAACAACCCAGACCGCCAGCUAAGGUCCCAAAGUCAUGGUUAAGUGGGAAACGAUGUGGGAAGGCCCAGACAGCCAGGAUGUUGGCUUAGAAGCAGCCAUCAUUUAAAGAAAGCGUAAUAGCUCACUGGUCGAGUCGGCCUGCGCGGAAGAUGUAACGGGGCUAAACCAUGCACCGAAGCUGCGGCAGCGACACUGAUGUGUUGUUGGGUAGGGGAGCGUUCUGUAAGCCGUUGAAGGUGUGUCGUGAGGCAUGCUGGAGGUAUCAGAAGUGCGAAUGCUGACAUAAGUAACGAUAAAGCGGGUGAAAAGCCCGCUCGCCGGAAGACCAAGGGUUCCUGUCCAACGUUAAUCGGGGCAGGGUGAGUCGACCCCUAAGGCGAGGCCGAAAGGCGUAGUCGAUGGGAAACGGGUUAAUAUUCCCGUACUUGGUGUUACUGCGAAGGGGGGACGGAGAAGGCUAUGUUGGCCGGGCGACGGUUGUCCCGGUUUAAGCGUGUAGGUGUGUGUUCCAGGUAAAUCCGGUUCACUUUAACACUGAGGCGUGACGACGAGGCACUACGGUGCUGAAGCAACAAAUGCCCUGCUUCCAGGAAAAGCCUCUAAGCCUCAGGUAACAUCAAAUCGUACCCCAAACCGACACAGGUGGUCAGGUAGAGAAUACCAAGGCGCUUGAGAGAACUCGGGUGAAGGAACUAGGCAAAAUGGUGCCGUAACUUCGGGAGAAGGCACGCUGACACGUAGGUGAAGUGGUUUACCCAUGGAGCUGAAGUCAGUCGAAGAUACCAGCUGGCUGCAACUGUUUAUUAAAAACACAGCACUGUGCAAACACGAAAGUGGACGUAUACGGUGUGACGCCUGCCCGGUGCCGGAAGGUUAAUUGAUGGGGUCAGCGCAAGCGAAGCUCCUGAUCGAAGCCCCGGUAAACGGCGGCCGUAACUAUAACGGUCCUAAGGUAGCGAAAUUCCUUGUCGGGUAAGUUCCGACCUGCACGAAUGGCGUAAUGAUGGCCAGGCUGUCUCCACCCGGGACUCAGUGAAAUUGAACUCGCUGUGAAGAUGCAGUGUACCCGCGGCAAGACGGAAAGACCCCGUGAACCUUUACUAUAGCUUGACACUGAACACUGGUCCUUGAUGUGCAGGAUAGGUGGGAGGCUUUGAAGUGUGGACGCCAGUCUGCAUGGAGCCGACCUUGAAAUACCACCCUUUAAUGGCUGGUGUUCUAACGUGGGCCCGUGAACCGGGUUGCGGACAGUGUCUGGUGGGUAGUUUGACUGGGGCGGUCUCCUCCUAAAGAGUAACGGAGGAGCACGAAGGUUGGCUAAUCCUGGUCGGACAUCAGGAGGUUAGUGCAAUGGCAUAAGCCAGCUUGACUGCGAGCGUGACGGCGCGAGCAGGUGCGAAAGCAGGUCAUAGUGAUCCGGUGGUUCUGAAUGGAAGGGCCAUCGCUCAACGGAUAAAAGGUACUCCGGGGAUAACAGGCUGAUACCGCCCAAGAGUUCAUAUCGACGGCGGUGUUUGGCACCUCGAUGUCGGCUCAUCACAUCCUGGGGCUGAAGUAGGUCCCAAGGGUAUGGCUGUUCGCCAUUUAAAGUGGUACGCGAGCUGGGUUUAGAACGUCGUGAGACAGUUCGGUCCCUAUCUGCCGUGGGCGCUGGAAGAUUGAGGGGGGCUGCUCCUAGUACGAGAGGACCGGAGUGGACGCAUCACUGGUGUUCGGGUUGUCAUGCCAAUGGCACUGCCCGGUAGCUACAUGCGGAAGAGAUAAGUGCUGAAAGCAUCUAAGCACGAAACUUGCCCCGAGAUGAAUCUUCCCUGAGCCUUUAAGGCUCCUGAAGGAACGUUGAAGACGACGACGUUGAUAGGCCGGGUGUGUAAGCGCAGCGAUGCGUUGAGCUAACCGGUACUAAUGAACCGUGAGGCUUAACCUUACAACGCCGAAG